rnacentral:misc_RNA from 1 species
UAAUAAGUGUUUUAUGGCACUUUUAAAUCCAUAUCCACCUUGUGUGCAAUGUCAGUCGAUCCUCUUCAUGGAGAUCGACCAAACAUCAACCUUUAUUUUUUAACUCUUUGUCUGAAAAAUAUUAUGAAUAAACAAUUCAAAUA